rnacentral:rRNA from 1 species
GUCUGUGGCAUACCACCCUGGAUACACCUGACCUCAUACACUCUCUGACGUCAACCGGGGUUUGACCUGGUUAGUACUUGGAUGGGCGAAAGCUGGCUCAAGAACAGACA